rnacentral:rRNA from 1 species
CAAUAGCGUAUAUUAAAGUUGUUGCAGUUAAAAAGCUCGUAGUUGGAUUUCUGGUGGGAGCGAUCGGUCUGGCGCUUAGCGCGAGUACUUGCAUCGUCUCCGGCCAUCCUUGGGGAGAGUCUGUCUGGCAUUAGGUUGUCGGGCAGAGGAUCCUCAUCGUUUACUGCGAAAAAAUUAGAGUGUUCAAAGCAGGCUUAUGCCGUUGAAUAUAUUAGCAUGGAAUAAUAAGAUAGGACUUUGGUACUAUUUUGUUGGUUUGCGCACCAAAGUAAUGAUUAAUAGGGACAGUUGGGGGUAUUCGUAUUCCGUUGUCAGAGGUGAAAUUCUUGGAUUUACGGAAGACGAACUACUGCGAAAGCAUUUACCAAGGAUGUUUUCAUUAA